rnacentral:rRNA from 1 species
UACGAAGGGGGCUAGCGUUGCUCGGAAUCACUGGGCGUAAAGGGUGCGUAGGCGGGUCUUUUAAGUCAGGGGUGAAAUCCUGGAGCUCAACUCCAGAACUGCCUUUGAUACUGGCGACCUUGAGUCCGGGAGAGGUGAGUGGAACUGCGAGUGUAGAGGUGAAAUUCGUAGAUAUUCGCAAGGACACCAGUGGCGAAGGCGGCUCACUGGCCCGGUACUGACGCUGAGGUGCGAAAGCGUGGGGAGCAAACAGG